GACAGAGGGUGCAAACGUUGCUCGGAAUCACUGGGCGUAAAGGGCGCGUAGGCGGUCUUGCAUGUCCCGUGUGAAAUCCCUCGGCUCAACUGCGGAACUGCACGGGAAACUGCUUGGCUUGAGUUCGGGAGAGGGAAGCGGAAUUCCGGGUGUAGCGGUGAAAUGCGUAGAUAUCUGGAGGAACACCGGUGGCGAAGGCGGCAUCCUGGACCGGUAUUGACGCUGAGGAGCGAAAGCCAGGGGAGCAAACGGG
rnacentral:rRNA from 1 species